rnacentral:rRNA from 1 species
GAUGAACGCUGGCGGCGUGCCUAACACAUGCAAGUCGAACGGAGCACUUCGGUGCUUAGUGGCGAACGGGUGAGUAACGCGUGAGAAACCUGCCUUUCAGUGGGGGACAACAGUGGGAAACUACUGCUAAUACCGCAUAAUGUUAUUUGGGGGCAUCCCCGAAUAACCAAAGAUUUAUUGCUGAAAGAUGGUCUCGCGUCUGAUUAGCUAGUUGGUGAGGUAACGGCUCACCAAGGCGACGAUCAGUAGCCGGUCUGAGAGGAUGAACGGCCACAUUGGGACUGAGAUACGGCCCAGACUCCUACGGGAGGCAGCAGUGGGGAAUAUUGGGCAAUGGGCGAAAGCCUGACCCAGCAACGCCGCGUGAAGGAAGAAGGCCUUCGGGUUGUAAACUUCUUUUACCAGGGACGAACAAAUGACGGUACCUGGAGAAAAAGCAACGGCUAACUACGUG